GCGAGUGGCGAACGGGUGAGUAAUAUAUCGGAACGUGCCCAGUCGUGGGGGAUAACGUAGAGAAAUUUACGCUAAUACCGCAUACGAUCUAAGGAUGAAAGCGGGGGACUUCGCAAGAGGCCUCGCGCGAUUGGAGCGGCUGAUAUCAGAUUAGGUUGUUGGUGAGGUAAAAGCUCACCAAGCCGACGAUCUGUAGCUGGUUUGAGAGAACGACCAGCCACACUGGGACUGAGACACGGCCCAGACUCCUACGGGAGGCAGCAGUGGGGAAUUUUGGACAAUGGGCGCAAGCCUGAUCCAGCCAUGCCGCGUGCAGGAUGACGGUCCUAUGGAUUGUAAACUGCUUUUAUACGAGAAGAAACACUCCGACGUGUCGGAGCUUGACGGUAUCGUAAGAAUAAGGAUCGGCUAACUCCGUGCCAGCAGCCGCGGUAAUACGGAGGAUCCAAGCGUUAUCCGGAAUCAUUGGGUUUAAAGGGUCCGUAGGCGG
rnacentral:rRNA from 1 species